rnacentral:rRNA from 1 species
UGUUUCGGCUAGGGGGCCAUCCCGGCUUACCAACCCGAUGCAAACUGCGAAUACCGGAGAAUGUUAUCACGGGAGACACACGGCGGGUGCUAACGUCCGUCGUGAAGAGGGAAACAACCCAGACCGCCAGCUAAGGUCCCAAAGUCAUGGUUAAGUGGGAAACGAUGUGGGAAGGCCCAGACAGCCAGGAUGUUGGCUUAGAAGCAGCCAUCAUUUAAAGAAAGCGUAAUAGCUCACUGGUCGAGUCGGCCUGCGCGGAAGAUGUAACGGGGCUAAACCAUGCACCGAAGCUGCGGCAGCGACACUCAGGUGUUGUUGGGUAGGGGAGCGUUCUGUAAGCCUGUGAAGGUGGCCUGUGAGGGUUGCUGGAGGUAUCAGAAGUGCGAAUGCUGACAUAAGUAACGAUAAAGCGGGUGAAAAGCCCGCUCGCCGGAAGACCAAGGGUUCCUGUCCAACGUUAAUCGGGGCAGGGUGAGUCGACCCCUAAGGCGAGGCCGAAAGGCGUAGUCGAUGGGAAACGGGUUAAUAUUCCCGUACUUGGUGUUACUGCGAAGGGGGGACGGAGAAGGCUAUGUUGGCCGGGCGACGGUUGUCCCGGUUUAAGCGUGUAGGUGUGUGUUCCAGGUAAAUCCGGUUCACUUUAACACUGAGGCGUGACGACGAGGCACUACGGUGCUGAAGCAACAAAUGCCCUGCUUCCAGGAAAAGCCUCUAAGCAUCAGGUAACAUCAAAUCGUACCCCAAACCGACACAGGUGGUCAGGUAGAGAAUACCAAGGCGCUUGAGAGAACUCGGGUGAAGGAACUAGGCAAAAUGGUGCCGUAACUUCGGGAGAAGGCACGCUGACAUGUAGGUGAAGUGAUUUACUCAUGGAGCUGAAGUCAGUCGAAGAUACCAGCUGGCUGCAACUGUUUAUUAAAAACACAGCACUGUGCAAACACGAAAGUGGACGUAUACGGUGUGACGCCUGCCCGGUGCCGGAAGGUUAAUUGAUGGGGUCAGCGCAAGCGAAGCUCCUGAUCGAAGCCCCGGUAAACGGCGGCCGUAACUAUAACGGUCCUAAGGUAGCGAAAUUCCUUGUCGGGUAAGUUCCGACCUGCACGAAUGGCGUAAUGAUGGCCAGGCUGUCUCCACCCGAGACUCAGUGAAAUUGAACUCGCUGUGAAGAUGCAGUGUACCCGCGGCAAGACGGAAAGACCCCGUGAACCUUUACUAUAGCUUGACACUGAACAUUGAGCCUUGAUGUGUAGGAUAGGUGGGAGGCUUUGAAGUGUGGACGCCAGUCUGCAUGGAGCCGGCCUUGAAAUACCACCCUUUAAUGUUUGAUGUUCUAACGUGGACCCGUGAUCCGGGUUGCGGACAGUGUCUGGUGGGUAGUUUGACUGGGGCGGUCUCCUCCUAAAGAGUAACGGAGGAGCACGAAGGUUGGCUAAUCCUGGUCGGACAUCAGGAGGUUAGUGCAAUGGCAUAAGCCAGCUUGACUGCGAGCGUGACGGCGCGAGCAGGUGCGAAAGCAGGUCAUAGUGAUCCGGUGGUUCUGAAUGGAAGGGCCAUCGCUCAACGGAUAAAAGGUACUCCGGGGAUAACAGGCUGAUACCGCCCAAGAGUUCAUAUCGACGGCGGUGUUUGGCACCUCGAUGUCGGCUCAUCACAUCCUGGGGCUGAAGUAGGUCCCAAGGGUAUGGCUGUUCGCCAUUUAAAGUGGUACGCGAGCUGGGUUUAGAACGUCGUGAGACAGUUCGGUCCCUAUCUGCCGUGGGCGCUGGAGAACUGAGGGGGGCUGCUCCUAGUACGAGAGGACCGGAGUGGACGCAUCACUGGUGUUCGGGUUGUCAUGCCAAUGGCACUGCCCGGUAGCUAAAUGCGGAAGAGAUAAGUGCUGAAAGCAUCUAAGCACGAAACUUGCCCCGA